UUCGCGUGAAUUUUCCACUAUGUUCUGAUUAACCUUACUUUUGUCACAGAUCUUUGAAUGGAGUGUAACCGUAAUUGGACCACCAGAUACUCUUUAUGCCGGGCCGCGCAUCGUGUCAUGGUGGAGAAGAACAUUUGGAAUGUUUGAGGCGGAGAAGCCAGGGGGAUGAAGAUGUAGUUGCUGAUUGUGGUUGGAAUUGAUGAGAUCAAAUGGAGAUGAAAUUAUAUUGGAAUAAGGAGCUUCAUGUCAAACCUAUUUGUCCGCAUCAGUGUCACAAAGGUUCACACAUCCAUCAAAGUAUGGAGAGCAUUUUGAACCUUUUAAAUAACAUCUCUUGAAGUCCAUUAGCUACUUCGAUUUUUAGUGGGAGACUGCUUCCAAGGUUAGUCCCAGUUUCAUUGUUUCUUUUGUGAAAUUUUCAUUUUUCUAUGACUCUUUACUAUGUUUAAUAUUUUUUUGUUUUUCGUGUUUUUGCUUCUUGUGGAUGGAACUAUACUUGAAGAAGCAUAUAAAUUGAGACGAAAGUUUGCACUCACUCAUCACAGGGCAUUCCAACCAUGAAGGUAAUCACAUUUCAAACAUAAACAACAUAGGAUCCCUUUUCUAUGUUUUGCUUUAAUCAAAAGUUUGUUUGAUAGGACUAACUUAUCAGCAAGCCUUGAAAAUUUUUAUCGUAUUUGAUCACGAUUUCCAGCAAAAUUAUAGAUUGCAAUGCGAUGGAGUGAUUUAAAGCUUUGGUUAUAUUUAUAGAGUAAUGUCUAUGUGUUUUCUUCAUGGUGGAAGGAUCAAAGAGUCAAAUGUAGCUAAGUUUAUAUCAGCACUAGCUGGUGGAAACUAAGAAAAACUGAUGGUUAUGGCAUAUGCUACUUCAGCGGACACUACGACACUAACUUUAGUUGCUGUUGUUAAUCAAACUGGUGGUGAUGGCUAAGCCAUUUGCCUAAUUCAAUUUUAAUUUCAUAGUUAGAAAACCAUCGAGAGCUAAAUGCCUAAUUCAAUUUUAUAGUUGGAAAAGCAGCAAAUCAUUAAUUUCAUCGAGAGCUAAAUGUAGCUAAGGUUUUUGUUAUCUUUUUUUGUUAACAUUAAUUGAAGGACGGAAAUAAUGGAAUCAUCUUUUAUGUAGA